rnacentral:rRNA from 1 species
UACGGGAGGCAGCAGUGGGGAAUAUUGCACAAUGGGCGCAAGCCUGAUGCAGCCAUGCCGCGUGUAUGAAGAAGGCCUUCGGGUUGUAAAGUACUUUCAGUCGUGAGGAAGGUGUUAAGGCUAAUAACCUUAGCAAUUGACGUUAGCGACAGAAGAAGCACCGGCUAACUCCGUGCCAGCAGCCGCGGUAAUACGGGAGGGUGCGAGCGUUAAUCGGAAUUACUGGGCGUAAAGGGCACGCAGGCGGUUAAUUAAGUUGGAUGUGAAAUCCCCGGGCUUAACCUGGGAAUGGCAUUCAAGACUGGUUAGCUAGAGUCUUGUAGAGGGGGUAGAAUUCCAUGUGUAGCGGUGAAAUGCGUAGAGAUGUGGAGGAAUACCGGUGGCGAAGGCGGCCCCUGGACAAAGGACUGACGCUCAUGUGCGAAAGCGUGGGGAGCAAACAGGGAUUAGAUA